GGAUCCAGACUUUGAUUCUGGCUCAGGACGAACGCUGGCGGCGCGCCUAACACAUGCAAGUCGAGCGGGAAGCUUUUUAAGGAUUCUUCGGAUGAAUUAAAAAGUGGAGAGCGGCGGACGGGUGAGUAACGCGUGAGAAACCUGCCCUAUACAGGGGGAUAGCCAUUGGAAACGAUGAUUAAUACCCCAUAUGACCACGGUAUCGCAUGAUACAGCGGUGAAAACUCCGGUGGUAUAGGAUGGUCUCGCGUCUGAUUAGCUAGUUGGUGGGGUAACGGCCUACCAAGGCGACGAUCAGUAGCCGGCCUGAGAGGGUGACCGGCCACACUGGAACUGAGACACGGUCCAGACUCCUACGGGAGGCAGCAGUGGGGAAUAUUGCACAAUGGGCGAAAGCCUGAUGCAGCGACGCCGCGUGAACGAUGAAGGCUUUCGAGUCGUAAAGUUCUGUUCUUGGGGAAGAUAACGACGGUACCCAAGGAGAAAGCACCGGCUAAAUACGUGCCAGCAGCCGCGGUAAU
rnacentral:rRNA from 1 species